UAUGUAGGGUGCAAGCGUUAAUCGGAAUUACUGGGCGUAAAGCGUGCGCAGGCGGUUUUGUAAGUCUGUCGUGAAAUCCCCGGGCUCAACCUGGGAAUUGCGAUGGAGACUGCAAGGCUAGAAUCUGGCAGAGGGGGGUAGAAUUCCACGUGUAGCAGUGAAAUGCGUAGAGAUGUGGAGGAACACCGAUGGCGAAGGCAGCCCCCUGGGUCAAGAUUGACGCUCAUGCACGAAAGCGUGGGGAGCAAACAGG
rnacentral:rRNA from 1 species